ensembl:lincRNA
CUCGCACUGAUCCUGAACGGGGCUCGAAGUUUGCGGCAGUACCUCGUCGUUCCCACUAGGUGGCACUAUCACAAAGGACAACGGAGGGUCCUGAAACCCAGAGCUGCAAACUGGCAGGUGCCAGGCUGUUGUAAGGCCUGAUGGGUUUGGGACCAAUUUACCAUGCGAGCCGUUGGCCCUUCUACCGUCACCACCUCUAUGUUUUUUGGAAACUGACUGUACCUUGGUGCUGGGCUACUGAUUCACUCAGUGAUGUUAGCAGAAAGCUUUAAUAGGCCAAGUUUAACUCCGGAUGUUUUAAGAAAUUUGUGUUCUUUGAGCCUGGGGGGAUGAGUGUGGGUGUGUGGGUGGGGCUGGUUUUUCUAAUGACCAGAGCAGCCUGAACAUUUAGCUGCAUACCAUCUUUGUGCCUAUGUCCACAAGCUGGAAGCAUAAAAUACUAGGGUAAGCCAGUCCUAGAAGAACAGGGUUGUAGUCGCAACUAUCUAGGAGAGUCAGAAGGCCAAGGCCUACCUGGAUAACUUAAUAAACUCCUUUCUCAGCCAAAUAACCAAUAAAUAAGGGCUGGGGGUGUGGUAGGAUGCUUGCUUGCCUAGCUAGUAGAAGCUCCGAAUUUGACACCCUCCCCCAUCAUCACACACACAAAAAAGUAAUUUAUCAAGCAUUCCCCAAGCCAGGAAUACUAAGCAAAUAUUUCUAACCCUUCACACCAUUGCAAGGUGAGCGCUUUAACCUGUAAUUUACAGAUAAAGGUCAGGAUCUAUAGCUACUGAGCAGAACUUCUAAGUCUGUCUCCAUGUCCUUUACCCUGUUCUGUCUGCUUGCCUGCCUCCUUUAUUGUUAUUGUCAGGGUCUUGCUAUAUAGUCCAGGCUGGCCUGAAUCUUAUUCUAUGUCUUAGCUUCCCAGUGCUUAACUUAUAGGCACACAUGCACCACCUUGCUCAACUCCCCUACUCUACUAGCCCCACACACUUCCUUUUAGAACUUUUCACAGAUCACAUGACCUUUAGCCCUUACCCAAGGAACUGGAACUUUAGGUCUUCCUAACUCAGCCUUCAAGUACUGAGAUUACAUGUAUACAUUUACUUACUGUCAUGAAGAUUGAGCCCAGGGCCUCAUCCAUGCUAGGCUUUGUCAUUGAGAAACCCAGAAGUCAAGGUCAGUGGGGCAUGGUGCCUUCUAUUGCUACUUCAUUCAGCAUCUCAGCUCUUUCGGUUGCUGCUAAGCCUCAGCUCUUUCGGUUGCUACCAAGCUUCAUGUAAAAUCAUACCUAAGAUAAUUGGGCAUGAGUGUGGUUGCCAUCUGAACUGGAAAUGAAGUAGAUAUAUUUAUUUAGUGAAUGCAGAGGCAAGUGAUUAAAAACAACCUACCCUCAAUGGAAUUCAUAUUAAGGAAAAUAGAAAUUAUAAAACCAGGCUCUACAAAACAAACUGCCUUGUUAAAUGUGGGAAAUGGACAAAUAUUUACUGAGCACCUACUGUGUAUGAUACACUGAAGAAACAGCAUUAAAUGAAACAGAUUCAGUCCUUAUUUUCUCAACCAGACAGGAAAUCAGACACUUGGGCCAGUCAGAUGCCACACAAGGCUAGUGUCUUGAGUUUAAUAUUAGGUACCCAAAAAAGUAGAAGAGCAUAGACUCCACAAAGCUGUCCUCUGAUCUUCACACACCAUGCCAUGGCCUUUGCCCCUCCUAACAAUAAAUACAAACUAAGCAAACCAGACAUUUAAUGUACAGACACACACUCAGGCACUGACUUUUAGUUGUAGUAAGUGCCUCAGAGGAGAAGACUAGCCAACCGGAAAGGAGUUCUGAAUGAAGGACACUUAUUUCUGAAGAGUGAGUAGCACGGGUGGAGCAAGAGCUGACAUGUCUCAAGUUACAGAGUGUGAGAACACCAGCAACGGCUACAAACUCAAUUCAAAUUACAAUUAGAUUUAUUAAAACUGCAAGUAGGGUGACAGCUUUAAAGCCACAUCAAAGGCAUGCUGCCAACAAGGGGUUAAGAGAAGGAUUUUUUUUUUGAAGGUGGAGAUAACCCUUAUCUUGUUUCUGUGAAGCUUGUAGCUGUGUAAGAAAGUUCUUAACUUCCCUCAGCUAUGUGAGGCACUGUCUCUUUCCCCUUGUUCACAGCUCUAAAGGGGAUACCUCUGAAAACAGUGAUAAGCGGGUUUACAGAAGCCAGGGCAGGCUGUUAAUCAUUUCACAGCAGUUACACCAUUCUGUGGAGGGUGGAGUUUGCUGGGAGUUCAUCUUUCAGAACUUUAGGGCAGAGCUCUGCCAGUGAGUAUCAAAGAGGUACCUGGUACAGAAUGCAGUUUCCUUAGCCAUCGCAAUGGCACACAGGGUUUUAAGGAAAGAUGUAUCAAACUGAAGGAACAGAAGAAUAAUUGGUCUAGAAUAGAGGAGAAUGAUGGAGGUAGGGCAGGCAAAGGCCAGAUCUUGGAGCGUUUGGGGAUUUGAGCUUAUUGUAAGAACUGGGAAGAUUGAAAGGUCAACAGAGCCUUAAGCUGUGGAAGCAAAUAUCAGUAGCAGCACUAACAGAGCUGAGCUUUGUGGGAAACCAAGGUUUGGUUCUGAAGUGGAAGGAGGCUAAGAAGAAAGGCAUAAAUUCUAAGACAAAGGAGGGGUCCAGCACUCAGGAUGCUGAGACAGGAAAACCAUGAAUUUGAUGCCAGCCUAAGCUACACAGACCCUGUCUUAAAAAAAAAUAAGAGAAAUAGGGAGUGUAGGGUUACCUCAGUGGCAGAGUAUAAACUUUUAAUUUUUUCUAAUGUCUGCUUUUCUUACAAACAGUAACCAGUUGUUUUAACUUCUUACCAGCCCUGUAGUCCCCGAGUGGUGCACUGUAAGAGCUGUCAAAGCUUCAGCCCUUCUUUCCCGCCCUCAGCUGCCGUGUCAUACCACCACAAGAGUUUUCAAAAUGGCAGCACCACAACACCUCCUCACCUGCUGUCGUGAGCAUUACCACAGGAGCUGUCCACGGUGACAGUGCCUUCUUUCCUGCCUCAGCCUGUGGCCAUCAUAAAAUAACAUUAAAGGAAGAAGUUACUGCAGGAGCUGUCCACAGUGGCAACGCCGCCUAGCUAACCUCCCCACCAAUCCCUGAUCUUCCCCAAGCUUAGGACUUGAAAUCCCACCAAUCCUCACAUUGGAAAUCUGCCCGAAAAAUUCUAGCCCCUGAGAAAUUCUAUAUAAGCCCUGCCCUUUGUUCAAUCUCUGCUGUCCAUUUCCAUUCCCUGGAUUUGUCCUUCCUUCUCCUGGAUUCAUCUCUCCAAUCUCUUUCAUGAGAUUUGCUGCCUGGUGUGACUCUUACAAGCCAAGAAGCAAUGAAGAGAAGGGAAGAAUUAAAGCAGGGGAGGGGGCUCAGCUUCCUGAUCUCUUCAGCUCAGCUGGGACACCCUCCCCUGGGAGCUGCAGUGUCUCUGCUGAGAAGGCUUCCGGAAUCUCAGAGCUGUGUGGCUCCUGGACUCCCGUGUCUCGGGAUGCCCCGCCCUUGAGACACUGCCCCACAUCAGAGCUGUGCAGUUCCUGGGUUUCAGAGCCCCAGUAGAUACCCUUCCACGGAGCAGAAAUGUAUAAGCCCUCGUCCUGGUUUAAUCACUCAGCCCCUUCAAAGGUUUCUCCCAGCCCUUCCUCCCUCAGUUCACCAACAGUAUGCUUAAAGAAUCCCUUCUCUCAGUUUUCUCAGUACUGGCAACUCCAAACUAUAGCAACUGUUCUAGCCUAUCUGCUCAGCUCAGCUUCUCCUGGCUCAGCUGUCACCAACUGUCUUCUGUCUUCUCUUUUUACUCUGUUAGAAGAAUUGACGUUCAACUCCCUUCUCCUUUCCCUCUGCUAGCCCUGUGCUCUUUCUCAGCCUCAGUUGUCUUCUUUUUUUUUUUUUAAUCUGUUCCCAGAAAUCCAAGAGGCAACCAACACUGAAGAUCACAGGGUCCGGCAGUUCUAACAGCUAAGAAUUCUUAAAAGGCCAGUUGAUUAGCAACUAGGGAUCCUUUAAAGGCCCAGGUUCACAAGACAAAUCACACUACAACAGAGGGCUUGCUGAGCAUGUACAAUAAAUAAUACAGCCCAAGAAUGCUUACCCAGAUGAAAAGAGACUUGUGAAUUAGUGAAUGAAGGAUGAUCACAAAGGUAUAACACACUUGGAUCCUCUUUGCAAAAUGUCUAAAAUGUAUGUUUUAUGUGUAUAUUUGUUUGCCCAAAAUAUGACAGCUGAGCAGUGGUGGUACACACCUUUAAUCCCAGCAUUCAGGAAGCAGAGACAGGCAGAGCCAAGUUUGAGGCCAGCACUGUCUACAGAAUGAGUUCCAGAACAGCCAAAGCUGCACAGAGAAACUCUGUCUUGAAAAUAAAACAACAAUAACAAGCAAAACAGACAUGAAUGUUAUUUUAAAUAAGUGUUUUUAUUAAAAUGAUAAAAAUAUUUAUUUUUAAAAGUGUUAUUUUAAUAGUUUUAAAUACACAUACUGGGCUGAAGAGAUGGCUCAGUGGUUAAGAGCAUUGACUGCUCUCCCGAAGGUCCUGAAUUCAAAUCCCAGCAACCACAUGGUGGCUCACAACCAUCUGUAAUUAGAUCUGAUGCCCUCUUCUGGAGUGUCUGAGGACAGCUACAGUGUACUUACAUAUAAUAAAUAAUUUUUUAAAAAGAUGCUUAGAAUAAAAGUUAUUUAAAACUACACAUACUAUAAAA